GGGGAUACCUAAUCAUUAUUUGCGUCAUCACUGCAAGCUAUCAUGACUCAAAAGCCGCUGUUUACUUCUGAAGAUCACUUUAGCACCGUCCUAAAAAAAACGAUUCAAAUUCGACACAAACCUUCAAAUAGUAUUUUUGUCAGCCAUCUUUGCUGAAGAAAGUCUCCAGCCUUGGGUCGUCAUGGGAACUACUCGAUAUGAUUGGUCAUCGCCCAGCGGUCGCCGCUGGGGAUUUGCAUAAAGCACAGAAAACGAAGAGAAAAGCUGCAUUGGCCACCUCUGUCACUCCACUCAUGGUACCACCUUCAGUGAGACUAUUCCAGCCAUUGACUCACUGAUGAAUGACGAUGAAGAGCGAUCGGCAAAGGCAAUCUGUCAUCUGCUGGCAUCACGGCACGACAUCAACAUCGCUCUCAAUACAGUAAGAAGACAGUUGAAGAAACUUGCGUGGACUUGCUCGGCCCAGGCAUGGAUCAAAACCGGACGAGACAUUAAAUAAUUUCAUCUUCACAGACGAAUCAAUCGUGGCUACAGAAAAAAAGUAAGAAGAUCAAGCAAGCCAAGUUCCAGGCAUCCGCUCAAACUCCAUGUGUGGGGGGCAAUUUCUCGCCCAUAUUUGAUUUUUGAUGCUAAGGUUGGCUAUUUACAAAGCAAAAGGUACAUAAAAUAUUGUAGCCUACACCCUCACGGACUGUUAAGUGUUCCACAUUAAUUCACUCGACUCCUUUUUCAGGUAUAAUGGCUCGAGAUUUAUCUGAGGAAGAAAUCAUCAAGAGAUAUGCUGCACCCUAUGUCAGAAAGGUGUUUCUGGGUACACAUCGUUUCUGUAAAGUUAGGAUUAUAGCAAUAUUUUGUUACUUUUAGGCCUAUUACAUUUCUAUUAUUGUAUCUAAUUUGGGCUGUUAGGCUAAAUGUCUUUUUCUACUCCAAAUGCAGACAAUUACCCAAAACACACUGCUGCCCGGGUAUGCAUUGCAAAUGAGGGCAUAAACUGGGUCAAGAUGCCAGCAGAGUAAGUAGACCUUUGUGUAGUAAAAUAAGGGUUAAAUAAAAAUAAAUAAACAAAAAAGACCUACAACACAUUCGGUAGGCCUAUAGUAUAUUUACAAAUAUUUUUUUCAUCUCUACAUGCAAGUAUCCUGAUUUAACCCCGAUCAAACUUGUUUGGUAUCAACUGAAAACAUUAAUCCGUGACUCUGCCAAGCCGACAAGCAAAGGUGAACUGGUCAAGGCCAAGAAGAUGUUUUGGCUAGAGAAAUUGACAAUACAACAAUGCAAUAAAUACAUUGAUCAUCUCAGUACCAUCUCAGUACCAUCUACUGCAUCUUGUCACUCAUUCAUAUAUCUUUAUGUACAUAUUCUUUAUCCCUUUACACUUGUGUGUAUAAGGUAGUAGUUUUGGAAUUGUUAGCUAGAUUACUCGUUGGUUACUGCAUUGUCGGAACUAGAAGCACAAGCAUUUCGCUACACUCGCAUUAACAUCUGCUAACCAUGUGUAUGUGACAAAUAAAAUUUUAUUUGAUUUAAGGCAAGGUUUUACCUGUGGUCCUGGUGCUGGGUGUGACUAAAAUGUAGUUUAUAUAAACAUCCGCAUUUGAAUGUCUUUUCUCUCAUUAUUUUAUUAACAAAAGCAUAAAGAUGUUGCUGAAUAAAUACUGUACUGCUGUUUUGAGUUAGAAAUGUAAUACUUUAGAGUACUUAAGCAUCGAAUACAUUGCAAGUUGAGUGAUUUUCACAACAGUUGCCGGGUUAUAACAAGUAUUUUGUCCUGCUAAUAGGAAACAUUUGCAUGAUGGGCUACACCUGCUUAAGUUGUGAAAAGCAAGUGUUUGAAGUUGUCCAUCGCUACUGUAAUUAAAAACACAGCAUCUUGUUUACAUCUUAUUUACAUUAUUUUGUCACACAAAAUUUGCAUCUACCUUCCAAUUACUUUUAGAGUUUGUGUUUUACAAAUGUUCGCUUUUAAUUAUUAGUUAUAUUGUUUUAGUUUGAACGUGCAGACUUUUUUCUUUAAAUUAUUGUUUUAUGUAGGUGCUACAUUUUUGACCAGUUGCAAAUGUAAGUAGGCCAAUAAAGCUUCAUAGCCUACCUCAGCCAGUUAAGUUUUUUUUAUCUAGGUCUUAGGCGCCGAAGAAAUAGACUUCAAUUAAGACCAUGUUGUUUGUGAAGUCAAAUUAAAAUGAAGAUUAUUGUUGAAA